AGUUUUUCCUGCAGCUGCAAGCACAGACUGACUGUGUGUGCAGGGGGCUCUCGCGGCAGCUCGCUCCCUCCCUCCCCCGCCCGUGAGUGUGUUCCAGGCGCCUCCAUGCGCCCAGGCUCUGCCGGGGGCUGUUUGUCAGGGAUCAAGAACAGCAAACAGUUCAGUUUACACUUGUAUAGCUACCCAUUGUUAUCCUAAGAUCAUCCCAGUGCCAGAGGACAAGGAUCUCAUUGGUAUCAGGUAAUGAAUUUCAGCUGGCCUAACCAAUUCAGUGUACCCCAACUCAUUAUGGUUAUAAACGGUAUCUAAAAGGGAUAAUGUAAUAUGUCAUUGGAAAUCUAAUAACUCACUGAUUAAUAUUCUUGUGUGAUGUAUGGUGUGGUGUGUAUUAAGAGUUAUGGACAUAUGCUUUUGUCUCUUUAAGGAGCAAAUUAACCUUAUUAUUAUUUCUCUGAAUUGUUCAGGAGAGGGCUGGGCACUUGCAGAGCACAUGGUUUGGGGAAAACUUGGGACUGGGAGUGCGUUGAGGUCACUCUGUAAGUAGUAACUGAGGCUGGUGGAGGCCAGGGUGAGGCUGUUGUGCUACAGACAGGAUGCUGGAGCCAGAGUUGCUGAUCCAGGGAUGUGCAGCACGCAGACACUUGGGUGUGACCUGCAUGUUUGUCUGUUGGCUGCUGGUAGGGUGACCAGACAGCAAAUGUGAAAAAUUGGGACAGGGGGUGGGGGGUAAUAGGAGCUUAUAUAAGAAAAAGACCCCAAAAUCGGGACUGUCCCUAUAAAAUCAGGACAUCUGGUUACCCUAGCUGCUGGUGUCUAGGCUGUGAGCCACAGUAGUGGGGCAUUUCAUGCACCGAGGGUUACCGGGCAGGUGGUGACACAACCCCUCAUUAGUCUGGAUUGCACCCCAUGCCCUACAUACUAUGCCAGUCAUGUGCAGUGUAGAUGGAGCCCUAGUGUGGAAUCAGAGUGUCCCUCCAGGGCGAUAGUGUGGAACAGCUAUUGCAGUUUUAAUGCGUACACUAGCUGUUUCACACUAACUACCCUGUGAAUUCCCCAUGUAGAUAAGUCCUCAGUGUUUUUUGUAGACACAGGACUAUAUUUUGCUUUUUGUGGUAUUUGGGGCCCAUUUCUUCUCCCUGGGGAAUUUAGUAUACGUUUAGAUGGGUAGUAAAGUAGCACAGCAUGGAGUACUUUCACCAGCACUCUCAGAGUGAAAUCCUAACUCCACGGAAGACAAUGGGAAUUUUGCCCCAUUGUUUUCACCAAGCAUCAAGAAACAGCUUCAUCCAUACUGUACCUUAUGUAUAGCAAUUGGUUGGCUAGUUUCAUAGUAUAGGGCUGGAAAAUGCAUUAGACACACUGUUCAUGUUAAGCUUCCCAAUUAUUGCUGCUACUUCUUGAUAUAAAAGAUGGCACUUCAGUGUCCUUUGUUAACAAUUAAUUAAGUCUCAAAACACCUGAGGAGGUAGGUACUAUUGUUUUACAGAUGGGAAAACUGAGCCGUAGAGCAGUUAAGUGACUUACCCAUGGUUGCACAGAAAGUCUGUUACGAUCUUGGAAAGGAAUAGCAAUUGUCUGUUUCUUAUUUCUUUCUGUGUUAUAAAGGACUUCCUAUUCCCAGUGGGAGACGCUAGGUAACAAGCUCUUUUGAAAAUCUGGCCACAAUUGUGGAUGCAGAAUACUUUUAAAAAUAUGAUUUCUGGGGGCUCAAUUUUUGGAUGCGCAACUCAAGACAUCUCAAAAACACCUAAUUUUCAGAGGGCAAUGAGCACCCACCCACUCAAAAUCAGGUCCCUUUUGGUGCAUUUCAUGUUGGGCACUCAAACAUCACGGCAUCCAAAAUUACUAGUCACAUUUGAUAACAUGGCUCAAAGUAUUUUUCAGGCUACAGCACCCAUAGUAGAGUUCUGUAUUUAUUUUGGGGAAGGGAGAAGCAGCGUACUCACCUUGCUGAUUACAGAGUCAGAGAAGGGGAGAGAAGAGGGAGGUAAUUAGUGUACACUUGUACAUAUUGGUUAAAUGGGCAGCAUUGACAGAAUUUCCUUUUAGGGAAGCUAGUAGCAAUGUGGUAGUCUUGUUAAUAUCAAUAAGUGUUAUCAUUGGAAUUGGUGCCUGAGAAAGCAAUAUUGGUGUUGAUUAGAAAUUGUAGGAAAGAGAUUGAUUUUGGGCCAAUCCUGCAGUCAUUAGUAGCCCCUAUUAAAAUUAUUGGGACUACUAGCAUAAGUAAGGACUACUCAUUGAGUAAGUGUUGCAGAAUCAGCUCUUAAAUAUACUUUAUAAUAAAUCUGGGCCACAUAGGAUUGUUAAUUUCAAGCAGAACUCCCCAUAAGUGGGAGUUCUGUUGUUCAAAUUAUGCUAUGAUAUGGCCCUCCAUUAUUAUUUUCUCAUAAUAAAAUUAGUUCUUGAAAAUUGAUCUUAUUUUACAACUUCUUAUUGUAGAGAUAUAAAACUUAUAGCACAUGACAAUCAAUUUAACCAAAUACAUUGAAAAUGUGUUGAGAUCUAUAUUUUAUUUUCUGAACAGGUCUUUUCCCCUUAAUGCCUUUUGUACAGGUUUCUGGCCAGGAAGAAUUAUGCAAACAGCUUGUAUUUAAAAAUAAAACAAAAUUCUGUUUCUUAUUUCACAGGUAUGUGUUUGCAUGUUACCAGAAAUCACAUGCACUUACAGAGUAAGAUUUUUGUCUUCCAUUGCUAACACAGUGGCUAUCAAGCAAUUACAGAGAAACACAUAUUUUCUUGUUCUAUAUUUAAGACUCAUUUCUGCAGCCUUGACUGACAAGAAGAGUCCUUAUGCCUAUGACUAAGACACACUUGAGUAGGAUUUUACAGGAUUGGCCCUGAUUUUGUAUUCUUCACAUAAAACAAUACAGCUUCUUUUCAUUAGCUUUAACUACGCCGGACUUGGCAUGAAGACAGCCUGAAACUCAGGGAAUCACAAUUGACUCCUUUACUCCCACUCACCCUCUGCUGUGCCCAUUGGUGUCAGGGGCUGCAUCUGAGGACUUCAGAUCCUUUACCAUAUGUCUGUCUGUCUCCCUAUCUAAUCACAGUGGCCUCUGAAUGCAUUACAAUAAAUUUAAUAAAGGCCAGAAUUUGUAAAUAAUUAAACUCUUGUUCUCUCCCUCUAUUCCAUGAGCCUGUAGUAAAAGGCUCUUUCUCUUCUUUCCCUUGAGUAACAUCCAUUCGCUUAGUAUGAUUUUCAUAUUAGUCUUCCCCUCCUUGUUUCCCAUCUCCCUGGGUGGGGUUGGUUCUGGUGGGAAAGAUCUGGGUCUGACAUUUCCUUCUGAAGAUUCACUUGGUUAAGUGCUUUGCUGGAUCAGGGUCAGAGAGUUCAGCAUUUGCAGGAUUGAAACCAUAAAGAUCAAGACCAGAACUUGGAAUUCAGUCCGAAAUUCUUUGGGAAAUCGGUCCAGUUUGCAGAAAGCAUUGAGGGGCUGUUUGCAUUGACCUGUGUUACUUAACAGGGUAGUUGUCAUAUUGUGCAUCAGCUGAAGUUUCUUCAGAGACUUUGGAUUAAUUCCCAGCUACAGUGCAUUGUAGUAACAGGCAGGAGGUCACAAAUGUGUGGAUCAUAGUGGCUUGGUCCAUGUCUGUUUAGAUGCAGUUUAAGCCUUCUGGCUAGCAGGAGGAAGAUUUUUUGGUUUAGAAUUACCCAGAGACUGUUCAUUCUCUGAAUGACUGGAGGAGCGACACCCUCAGUUGUUAUCAUUUCGGCCAGUCCUCUGAAUGCUUUCUCUGUUGCAUUAUACUCAUGUCUGUUUUGCUUUGGUUUAGCUUCCACCAGCCAUUCUUCAACCACAUGCUAAUUUUGGGAUCCCUAAUGGGAGCGAUGUUUAAGAUCUGGGUGUUGUCUGCAUAUUUUGGCAUGUGAGACCAUGAUGUUUCACAGUCUCUCCCAGGCUUAAGUCUCAGAGCUCUCUUGUCAUGUAGGAAGGUAUUAACAGUAUAUGGAUGUAGAAACUUGAAAUACAGAGAGUUCAAGGGUUAGACUUACCUAAGGUCGCAUGGCAAGAGACAAAUCCUCCCUUUACUUACAAGACUUAGAAGACCCUAGGGGUCAGUAUGACUGUUCAUGUGAGAAAGGCAAGCAGGACCUCCUGAGAUGUGCAAAAAUUAUCUUCUGUUAGAGGUGAAGGUACUCAGUUUGUCCCAGGAGGCCCUCAGCAUCUUUCAGGAUUAGAUGUAUAAAUUGUAAGUGCUUCCGGGCGUGGACCUUGCCCUUGUAUUUGUCUGUGAAACACACAUUUGAUGCUAUGUAUAGUAAAUAAUAAAUAAUGACUUUAGACACCUGCUGCACAUGGGAUUAUGAACUGAUUCUCCCUCCUGAUUAAUUUCCCGUUCCAAGAUGCCAACUGUGCAGUUUUCCUGGAAUAUGUCAGUAGCUGGUAUGAUGGCCUCUGCUACUUUCUUUUACACUAUACAGCAUUAACUGUUGGGGUACUGUCAUCUGCCAUAUACAACGUAUUUUACAGCACAGAGGAAGAAUUUUAAUAAGACCUCCAAGGGGCUUGCUGCCAUUUUUUAGUGGAAAGCUUUCCUACAAAGAAAGUGCACUGAAACUCCCAAGAGACAGCAGGAGAAAACACUCCCACUGAGAAGAGCCUGUGUCAUCCCAUUUUAUUGUCUAUAUGUCACUACAACACUCACAUGAUUCUGACAAGCUGUUCUUUUCUGCCUUAGCUAGUGCUGCUUAAUGUCAUUUUCUUGGUUGAACAUCUUCAUUUCAGACUUGUUACAAGGCAUUAACUAGUUUCUAGGUUUCCGCAUGUUGGCUGUAUGUUGCUUUGAAUAACAUUCUCCUUUCUCCUUCACAUAAAGGUAAACUACACGUUUACUCGAUCCACAUUUUUUGUAGCACAUCACAGAAGAAAAAGCUCUGUGACGUCUCCAUCCAGAUUAAGCAUUUUAGGAUCACAUAAAUGAGUUUGAUGGGCAAACUAGACAACACUAUUUCAAUGGGUUACAAAUAACAGAGAAAAGAGCAUUGUCCAUGCAGUGACUCCAAAUACUAUAAAUUUAGGCGAUCAGUUUACUACAGUAAUAUGAUUCUCUCUCAUUGGUAAACCACCAGCUAGUCCAUUUCUUAGCGCAAAAUUACUGAGAAUAUCCUUUGAAAAACAAUGGGCAGCUCAUCCAAGCGUUUCUCUUAUUUUUGCUUGUGUAUACAGUGAGUACAUCAUGUUUGUAUAAUUUUGGACUUACCACUGUUCCAGGAGAAGUGGAUCAUUCUGAGAGUUGGUAAUCAAUAACCUGGACCAUACUCAGAGAAGCAAUCCCAUUGAGGCCCCUCCUAUAAACAUUCAUGUGGGUGGUCCUUAUGGGUCCUAUUCUGAUACCUUUACUUGUUCAAUAGCACAUGACUUCACAAAUAAUCCUAUUGACGUCAAGGGGCCUAUUUGUGGCGUAAAGUAUUGAACGUGAAUAAAGGUAUCAGGACGUGGCUCUGUUUAAUUCAGAGAGACUGUUGUGAGUACACGUUUGCAGGUUCCUACCCUAACUGAUGAACCUAGUCUGCAAAACAAAUGCAAUGGGCUUUGAAAAUUAAAGGGCCGAAUGCUGCAAGGAGUGGCUUCCUUGAGAUGCAAGUACCCUCUCUCCCUCAGCGGAGAUGGGGUGGGGGGCGGCGUUCCACCUCGGUCGGCGCCUAGCAGCUGACUUAGAACUGGUGCACGCCCCUGAGCGACAUAAGUUAUAUUGACAUAAAUGGUAGUGUAGACAUUCAGCAGGUGUGCUAUAGCACCUCUCCGACUUGUACCAAAUCUGCACAACAGAGCAGGAUCUCAUUUUUGGGGCCUGAUCCUUACUUGCCUCAGAGUUAUCUUUUGAAGUCAAGGAGACUACUCACAUAAGCACUGUGCAUGUGAAUACGGGUUUGCAGGGUGGGUUUGUGUUCCUGAACUGAUAUUGCUUCACACUUCAAUUAUAGUCAGCAGCUAUAGGGUUAACCAACAAAUUCUCUUCUCUCUCACAUUGCAGUGCUCAUUCAUUCUCCACUAAAUAUAUAUAUAUAUAAAGAAACUGAAUGCUUUAGAAAGUUUGACCGAAAGCUGAUA